AUGAAGGAAUAGUGUCAAAGGGGACCAAGUAUGGGUGAUGACAAGUAAGAAGUGGGCACUGGCUUUGAGCCUAGCACCAAGAGACGGCUUGUGCCUCCCCUGGAGCAACUUCUGUAGAGCAUGGGCAGACGCUACGAACAGGAGUGUGGAGAACCCUGUGCAGGAACUUUGUGGUCGUGGGUGAUGGAGAAAGCCGAUGGUUUGGGAGAGCUUGGCCAUGGAGAUUCAUGCCUGUCUUUUGCUAAAGGCACAUAAUCACAUUUUCUUUUCUGAUGAAGGAAAACCAGGAGGCAGGCAGACUUUCAGAAGGUAGGAAACAGCAGAGAAAACUAACUGCUGGAAGGGAUUGUUGAAGAGAAGGGAUGGGAGGAUGGAGAGAAGAGGAGUCCAUCUUCCUAGAAAACCAGUUCUGCCUGACUACGGCAAGGCAAGGAUUCAGGCGGAUUGGUGGAAGCUGGUUCCCUGUAGUACAUUGGGACUCCAGCAAGAAGGCCAUCAACAGAGUCACCUUUGGACCCUGGACCAGAACCAUGAGCAGAAGAGUCCUGUGCACACGCAGGCAAGUCCUGGCUCCCUUCAAGCCCAGCAUCUCGGAGAGUCUAGACAGCAUGGAGAUUACAACUUGUCUUCAAAGCAGAGCUCCCCGGGUUGUGUUUUUAAAUCAACUAUAAAAA